UACGUAGGGUGCGAGCGUUAAUCGGAAUUACUGGGCGUAAAGGGUGCGCAGGCGGUUGAGUAAGACAGAUGUGAAAUCCCCGAGCUUAACUCGGGAAUGGCAUAUGUGACUGCUCGGCUAGAGUGUGUCAGAGGGAGGUGGAAUUCCACGUGUAGCAGUGAAAUGCGUAGAUAUGUGGAAGAACACCGAUGGCGAAGGCAGCCUCCUGGGACAUAACUGACGCUCAGGCACGAAAGCGUGGGGAGCAAACAGG
rnacentral:rRNA from 1 species